rnacentral:rRNA from 1 species
AUACGGAGGAUGCGAGCGUUAUCCGGAUUUAUUGGGUUUAAAGGGAGCGUAGGCGGGAUAUUAAGUCAGCUGUGAAAGUUUGGGGCUCAACCUUAAAAUUGCAGUCGAUACUGGUUUCCUUGAGUACGGUACAGGUGGGCGGAAUUCGUGGUGUAGCGGUGAAAUGCUUAGAUAUCACGAAGAACUCCGAUCGCGAAGGCAGCUCACCGGGCCGGAACUGACACUGAUGCUCGAAAGUGCGGGUAUCAAACAGGAUUAGAUACCCUGGUAGUCCGCACAGUAAACGAUGAAUACUCGCUGUUUGCGAUACACGGUAAGCGGCCAAGCGAAAGCGUUAAGUAUUCCACCUGGGGAGUACGCCGGCAACGGUGAAACUCAAAUGAAUUGGCGGGG